rnacentral:rRNA from 1 species
AUUGAACGCUGGCGGCAGGCUUAACACAUGCAAGUCGAGCGGGGUGAUGGUGCUUGCACUAUCACUUAGCGGCGGACGGGUGAGUAAUGCUUAGGAAUCUGCCUAUUAGUGGGGGACAACAUCUCGAAAGGGAUGCUAAUACCGCAUACGUCCUACGGGAGAAAGCAGGGGAUCACUUGUGACCUUGCGCUAAUAGAUGAGCCUCAGUCGGAUUAGCUAGUUGGUGGGGUAAAGGCCUACAAAGGCGACGAUCUGUAGCGGGUCUGAGAGGCUGAUCCGCCACACUGGGACUGAGACACGGCCCAGACUCCUACGGGAGGCAGCAGUGGGGAAUAUUGGACAAUGGGGGGAACCCUGAUCCAGCCAUGCCGCGUGUGUGAAGAAGGCCUUAUGGUUGUAAAGCACUUUAAGCGAGGAGGAGGCUCUUUUGGUUAAUACCCAAGAUGAGUGGACGUUACUCGCAGAAUAAGCACCGGCUAACUCUGUGCCAGCCGCCGCGGUAA